CGGGAGCUGCUGGCCGCCUCUAGCUGACUCCAUGCACAGCCGGCACAACAGCUUUGAUACCGUCAACACUGCCCUGGUGGAAGACUCCGAGGGGCUGGACUGCGCCGGUCAGCACUGCUCGCGGUUGCUGCCGGACCUCGACGAGGUCCCCUGGACCCUCCAGGAACUGGAGUUGCUGCUGCUGCGCUCGCGGGAUCCUCGGGCAGGCCCAGCAGCCCCCGGCAGCCUGCCCAAGGACGCGCUGGCCAAGCUCUCGAUGCUGGUAAGCCGGGCUCUGGUGCGCAUCGCUAAAGAGGCGCAGCGCCUGAGCCUGCGCUUCGCCAAGUGCACCAAGUACGAGGUCCAGAGUGCUAUGGAG
rnacentral:lncRNA from 1 species